UACGGGGGGGGCAAGCGUUGUUCGGAAUUACUGGGCGUAAAGGGUGCGUAGGCGGCCAACUAAGUCAGACGUGAAAUCCCCAGGCUUAACCUGGGAACUGCGUCUGAUACUGGAUGGCUUGAAUUCGGGAGAGGGAUGCAGAAUUCCAGGUGUAGCGGUGAAAUGCGUAGAUAUCUGGAGGAAUACCGGUGGCGAAGGCGGCAUCCUGGACCGAGAUUGACACUGAUGAGCGAAAGCCAGGGGAGCAAACGGG
rnacentral:rRNA from 1 species